rnacentral:rRNA from 1 species
GACGAACCGUGCGAACGUUGUUCGGAAUCACUGGGCUUAAAGGGCGCGUAGGCGGCUUGCCAAGUCGGGGGUGAAAUCCGGCAGCUUAACUGUCGAAGUGCCUUCGAUACUGGCAAGCUCGAGGGAGGUAGGGGUCUGUGGAACUUCUGGUGGAGCGGUGAAAUGCGUUGAUAUCAGAAGGAACGCCGGUGGCGAAAGCGACGGACUGGAUCUCUUCUGACGCUGAGGCGCGAAAGCUAGGGGAGCAAACGGG